UGAGAAUGGAUGCUUUGAGGCAGGUGUA
rnacentral:piRNA from 1 species